GUGGAUUAGAUACCCUGGUAGUCCACGCCGUAAACGAUGAUAACUAGCUGUCGGGGCACUUGGUGCUUCGGUGGCGCAGCUAACGCAUUAAGUUAUCCGCCUGGGGAGUACGGCCGCAAGGUUAAAACUCAAAGGAAUUGACGGGGGCCUGCACAAGCGGUGGAGCAUGUGGUUUAAUUCGAAGCAACGCGCAGAACCUUACCAGCGUUUGACAUGGUAGGACGACUUCCAGAGAUGGAUUUCUCCCUUCGGGGCCUACACACAGGUGCUGCACGGUUGUCGCCAACU
rnacentral:rRNA from 1 species